GGCGGGGCGGGGCCGAGAGCGGGGCAUGGCGGCCAGGGAGGCGGCGCGGGGCCAGGCCUGGCGGCGGCACGGAGCGGGGCAGGCGCGGCAGGAGCCGGCGGUGUCGGUGCGGGAGCUACAGGAGAAGCUGCUGCAGUGUCGGAGCUGGUGUCGUGAGCUGGAGCAGCGACUUGAAGCAGGAGGGGUGAGUGUGCAGGGAUGCCUGUCGGACAGAUGGGAAACCACUGAAGACCACGGCCUGGAGAAAGCACUCCUCCAGUUGGAGGAAGAGCAGCAAAGGUGUGAGAAUCUGGCAGAAGUGAAUACCCUCCUUCGGGAACACCUCAAUAAAGCAAAUGAAGUGAAUUUAGCCCUUAAAGAAGAUGUUGGAAAACUGACAGCAGAUUGGAUGAGGGCCCGAGAAGAGCUGGAAUUGAAGGAGAGUGAAUGGCGCAGUGAGCGUGAGUUUUAUGACAGCUACUUAAGGGGUGAACAUAACCGUCUGUUGAGCCUGUGGCGUCAGGUGCUGACUUUUCGCCGUCAUUUCCUGGAAAUGAAGACUGCCACUGACAGGGAUUUGUCAGAGCUGAAGGCAGAACAAAUGAGACUCUCUGGAUCCAUUCUUGUAAGCUGCUUCCGGUUGAACUCUGGCGUACAGCUCUGGGAGUCUGUCACUUUGGGUAGGCCUGUACUUGCUGCACAGCAAGCAGCAGCAUGGACAAGUGACCAGCCAGAGCAUAGGGAAGGCGAGAGCUUCAUUUGUGGGAAAGGGGACAGCACAGCACAGCAGCAAGUGGAAAAGGAAAUAAACCAGAAGGCUUUGGAAGUGAUGUGCUUACAAGUCAAUGGGGACCUGGAGAAGAAAGAGCUUCAAGAUAGGGUGAUGGAGCUCUCAGCCUUGCUUGUACAGUCUCAGAAGCAAAAUGAAGAGAAAGAGAAGACCAUGAAAACACUUAACGACACUGUGGAGAUGCUAGAAGCAAGUCGGUUAGAGGUAGAAUACGAAGCUUCAAUAACUAAAAAUACCAAAGAAGAGAAUCUUGCCCUUCAGAAGUUAAUCAAAGAGAUAACUGAGGUGGUGUUAGGUGACAGCGACAGCACGGUCAGCAUUGUCCAUGGUGACAGUUCCCAGCAUCCAGAGUCUGGCAACAUCCUCUCUUCUCUGAGCUGCCUUGAUGCAGAGCGUGCCUUUGUGUUGGUUCAGGAAACGCUGGCAAGGAGGCAAAGAGAAACACAGGCCCUAAAAAAAGAGCUUUCUACUAGGCAAGACUCCAUCAAUUUCCUGCAGCACCAGCACAGACAGCAGGAAGAGAAGUGUAAGAAGCUGCAGCAAAGGCUUGAGCAACUGGAGGAGGAAAACAAGAUGUCUAGCAGCCACCAGCAGCACCUCCAGUCUCUGGUACAAGCACUCAAGAUUGACUGUGAAAACCUAGAGAAGAUCAGAGCAGAGCUACAGCAAAAGCUGGAAUUAAGUGAGCAAGAAGCCUCACGUCUGCGUCGGAGUAACACUGAGCUGCAGCUGAAGGAAGAUUCAGCCCAAGGGGAAAAGGUGGAGCAGCAGCUGGCAAUGGAGAGAGCACAUCAUGACCACGAGCUCCUUCUGAAGGACUUAGCUGCACUUGAAGCAAAGCAUUCAUUGUUACAGAGUGAAUUGAUAGCCACAAGGGAGAAGCUGGAGGAAUCACACCUUCAGAAGGAUCUGCUGAAGCAAGAGAAACAUGAGCUUACAGUGGCACUGGAAAAGGCAGAGAAAUCAAUAGCAGCAUUGACAGGGGCUCAGAAUAAUUUGAAUUCUGAAAUAGCUGAUCUACGUGUUGCCGCAGAAAAGAUGAGCAGUAUUAAUGAAGCUCUUGCACUGGAUAAAGUGGAACUGAACAAGCUUGUGUUGCAGCUGGAACAAGAGAAUGAACUUCUGUCAGAUAAAGUGAAUGAGAUGGAGAGAGCAAAGGUCUCUGAACAGGAGAAGAUGUCCUUGUAUAAAAGAACAAACGAAGAGCUUUGCACAGAGAAGUCCCGCCUGGAGGAGCUGCUGAAGAAAGCAGAGGAGCAACAGGAAGGGCUGCAGAUGCAACUGAGAACACUGGCAGAGGAAAAGGAAGAAACACAGGAGCAACUGAACCAGGUUUACCGCCAGCGAGAGUCAGCUAGCAGUGGUUUGGAGCAGUUGCGCCAGCAGUCCUCUCGCCAAGAGGAUGCAGUGGCCAAGGUGUCCAAAGAGAAGGAAUUCCUGGUGCAUGAGAAGGCUGCCCUUGAGGUGCGACUGGCAGCUGUGGAACGGGACAGACAAGGCCUUUCAGAGCAGCUGGCAGAGGCCAGGUCAGUGAAGGACACCCUGGAAUCCAGCCUGUUUGAAGCUCAGCAGCGUUUAUCUCACUUGGAGAUCACCAAGAGUCAGCUUGAAAUCCAACUUCAUACAGUCGUUCAGGCUAAGGAAGUGAUACAAGGGGAAGUGAAGUGUCUUCAAUAUGAGCUGGAAACAGAGAGAUCUCUAAUGAAGCAGGAACGGCAAAACAUGUCACAGCGGCUCAUUCAGAUAGAACAGCAGCAUAACAAUGCCCUGAAACUUCAGCAAACUGAUCACGAAGUGGAAAUAAACAAACUCCUACAAGACCUGGCAAGUGAACAGGAAGGACACCAUUUAGAGCUACAGGAGGUGCUGGAGCUCUGGGAAAAGGAGAAAGCAGAGACAGAAGGGCAGCAUGAGAAGAAACUACUUCACAUGAAGGAGAAAGUUGCUACCAUGCAAGCUCAGCAAGAAGAGGAACGAGCUAGAGUUGAAAGUGCCAAUCAAGAGAUCUUGACAGAAAAGGAGAACGAGAAGAAAGCUUUAUUAGAGACACUACUCCAAACUCAGGGAGAACUAACAGAAGCCUGCCAUCAGCUUGAGCAACUCAGGCAGGAAGUGAAAGAGCAGCAGGAGUAUGAGCAGAACAUCACAGAAAAACUGCAAGAAGAGCUGCAGGAAACUCACUGUAAGAUCAAGAUGGUGGAGAGUAUGCACAAGGAAGAAAUUGAAAACAUCAGAGAGGAAAAGAAUAUCCUUCUUCAGCAGAGGGAUGAUCUACAAAAACAGGUAGAAGAGCUGGCAUCUCAGCUAGCAGCCUCUGAAGAGUCCCAUCAAGCAAUUGGCCAUAAAGCUCAGCAAGAUCUGAACGAGGCACAAGAGUUGUCCAGGCAGAAGGUACUGGAGGUUGUGCAUCUUCAGAAAAUGUUGGAAGAGAAGAGGGGCCAGUGGGAAGAGGUAGAACAUCAGAACAAAGAACUGCAGGUGUGCCUACAGUCCUUAGAGGGGGAAAGGAGUCGAUGGGAAGAAGUGGAACGUCACAAUACAGAAUUUCAGGCUUCCUUGAAGGCUCUAGAGAGUGAAAGAGACAGGCUAUCUCUGUCUCUGGAACAGAAGGAAUUGAGCCUCAAGACCUUGGAAGAAAACAAUCUUGUCCAGCAGAAUGAGGUGUCUAAACUACAUUCUGCUAUUCAACAAGCUCAGCAGCUCCACUCAGACCACAGAAGGGAAAUAGAAGAGCUCAACAACCAGGUACAGACACUGCAGGAAGUGGUGCUGGAGAAGGAAGCUAACUUGGCAGCUCGGGAGAAGCAGCUGUUACAGGAUCUGGAGGAAUCUCGUGCAGGAGAACAGUGCUUGAAAGACUCUUUAAACGUGCUAGAGGCUGAGAUGUCUGAACUUCAUCUGAGGCUUUGUAGCACAGAGAACAGAGCAAAGGCAUUGGCUACAGAGUGCCAGCAGGCUAAUAAUGCCCACUGUGAAGCCCAGUCCCAGCUGGACAAAUUGCACUUGGUUCUUCACCACAUGCUGUGUGACAGCACUGAUAAAAACAAAGACAUUGCUGCUUGGAGUUCAGAACAGGAUCAUGUCUGGGGCCAAACUGCUUCUCAGGCCAAGGACCUCCCUGUAGAGCUCAUGGUGGACAGAGUGGCAGCAGCCCUGCAAGACCUGCGUCAGGACCUGAAGCAAACUCGGCAAGAUCUGAAUGAUGCUGGGAAGAAAGUGCAGGACCUGGAACUGGAGCUGAGCAAGAGGCAAACUGAGAGGGACCACUUCAGUGCCCGCAAUCAGGAGCUACAGAAACAACUGGCUCAAAGCCAGGAAGAGACACAGAUGGCAGAAGGCAAGAACAACUCUCUACAAGCAGCCUUGCAAGCAGAGGCUGCUGCUCUAAAGAAGGAGGCUAUGACGCUACAUCAAGAGGUGGCAUCUUUGGAAAGGAAACUUGAGAGUGCUGAGGAGCAAAAAAAGGAUGUGCUGCAUGAACGGGACAGACUGCAAGCAGUUGAAGAAAAACUGAUGUGGGAGAUAAAACUUCUUCAGGAGUCAGUCACAGCCUCAGAAACACGAGCAAACACAGCAGCAGAUAUGAAUCACUCCCUUGAACAAGAACUACAGACCACAUUGUCUGUCUUGAAAACAAAAAAUAAGGAAGUGGACACUCAACGGGAGAAAAUCCAGAUGCUACAGAAAGAGGCAGCGGAUGUAAAAGCUUUGCAGGAGAGUCUUACUCAAGUGAAUGCCAUCCUGUCAAAGAGAGAGGGAGAAAUGAAGUUAUACCAGGAACAGAUAAGAAUUCUGGAAAGCCAGAAAGAAAUGCAUAAAACUACUCUAGAUCAAGUUAUUAAGGACAUGAAAGAGAAAAAACAGAAGACAGAAUCCCAGCAAGAACAAAUACAGGAGUUAGAGAAGAAGCAAGAACUGCAGAGGACUGCAGUAAGCAAAAUGAGCAAAGACCUGGAAGACAGAGAUAAGGAGAUCAGAUCCCAGCAAGAAGAAAUAUGGGAGCUGGAGAAGCAACGAGAACUGCAGAGAGCUGCUAUAGGCAAGAUGACUAAAGACCUGGCACACAGAGACCAGGAGAUCAGAUCCCAGCAAGAAGAGAUACGGGAGCUAGAGAAGCAGCGAGAAUUGCAGAAAACUGCUGCAAGUAAAAUGAGCAAGGAUCUAAAAGACAGAGAUGAGAAGAUAAGAUCCCAGCAAGAACAGAUAGAGGAGCUAGAGAAACAGCAAGAACUGCAGAGGACUGCCCUAGGCAAAAUGAGCAAAAACUUGGAGGAGAGAGACCAGGAAAUCAGAUCCCAGCAAGAACUGAUAAGGGAGCUGGAGAAGCACCGAGAAAUGCAGAGGACUGUUGUAAAUAAGAUGAACAAAGACCUGGAGGAGAGAGAUGGGAAUAUAAGUUCCCAGCAAGAACUGAUAGAGGAGCUGGAGAAGCAGCAAGAACUGCAGAGGGCUGUUGUAAGCAAGAUGAACAAAAACCUGGAGGACAGAGACCAGGAGAUCAAAUCUCUGCAAGAACUGAUACAUGAGCUAGAGAAGCAACAAGAAAUGCAGAGGUCUGCUGUGAGCAAGAUGAGCAAAGAGCUGGAGGAGAGAGACCAGGAGAUUAUAUCCCAGCAAGAAGAGAUAAGGGAACUGGAGAAGCAACGAGAAAUGCAGAGGACUGUUGUAAGCAAGAUGAGCAAAGAUCUGGAAGAGAGGGACCGGGUGAUCAAAUUCCAGGAAGGGAAGCUAAUGAUUCUAGAACAACAUGGUACAUCACAGGUGAGAAGUCUGCAAGUGGAUCUUGAUCAUAUGAAGGGAAGCUUGAAGGAGAAAAACUUAGAGCUGAUGGCUCUAAAUCAGCAGAUCAAAGAACUGGAGAUGGAGAGAGAAGAGGUGAAAUCUUUGCACACAGGUCUUGAGCAGCUCAGAGCAGUUCUUAAGGACAGAGAGAAUGAGUCUGACUCUCAAAGGAAUCAGUUAAGACUCUUUCAGCAGUACAAGGAGCAUCAAGAGGAGUACCUGCAAGAGCUCCAGGGUAAAGUAGAAAAAAUGACACUUUCUUUAUCUAGAAAAGAUCAAGAGCUUGAGUCACAGCAAAAGCAAAUCCAGGAAGCUGAAGAAGUCAUGGAAAAGAAGUUGAAGACUGUUUAUGAGCAACUGGAGCAGACGUUAGAAACCUUAAAAGAAAAGGAAAGACUUCUAGACAUCCAAAAGCAACAAACAAGGGAAUAUGAGGAAAGAACGGAACAGAUGGAUGUCUUAUGUAGAGACUUAGAAUACAGUAAGGCAAUAUUGAGAGAGAAGGAUUUAAUGAUUGAAUCUCAGAAGGAACUGAUUGAGACCUUCCAAAAACAAGAAAAAGACUCUAUGCAGCAGAAAGAAAUUCUGCAGCAUCUUAAAGAGGCUUUAAAGGAGCAAGAACAAGAAACUGUAUCCCUUAGGAAGCAGUGUGAGGCAUUGAAAGAAAAGGAGGAAAAGCACAAAACUGAUCCAGUGAUUCUUCAAGAAACAAAAAUGUCUCUGCAAGAAAGAGAAAGAAAGAUAGAGGUUUUAGAGGAGACUAUCUCUAAGCUUCAACAACAAAAUGACGAUAGGAUGAUGCAGACUACAGUUAUAAUGCAAAAACUAGAAUGUGCUGAAUCUUCCCUAGCAGCUAGAGAUCAAGAGAUAGCAUCUCUGAAAGAGCAUGUCCAGGAACUUCAAGAGCAGAAGGAGUCAGAAGCUAAACAGGUCAAAAGUCUACAGGAGGACCUGAACAAAAUGAGCAAAACAGUGAAGAAGAACAAUUUGGAAAUUCUCAAACAGUCAGAGCAGAUUAAUGUGUUUCAUAUUCGUGAAGAAAGUAUGAAAGCAGCUCUAACAUCUUGCCAGAAUCAAGUGAGUCUGCUUGAGGAAGUGGUGAGAAAGAGAGAUGAAGACAAUGAAACUCUUCUGCAAAAACUCCAGCACCAAGAGGAAGAACUGAAGACCUUGCAGAAUCUCCAGCUUAUGCUAUCUGAGAAGAAAGAGGAUAUUAAACAUCACGGAGAGGAAGAGAAGUUCCUAGAAGAAGACUUGCAUAGGAGAAAAUGGGAGACGAAAGCUCAAGGUGAGCAAAAAGAGUUAGAAGAUGAGGAAAUAAGAGGUCUUCGAGAGGAUCUCCAGCAUGUUCAGCAGACUCUGACAAAGAAGGAUGAGGAGAUCAAAUACCAGACAGACAGAAUCAAGUAUUUAGAGAGCUCUCUGACAGGGAAAGAAAAAGAGCUGAGGAGGCAGAGUGAAAUCUUGAAACAAUUAACAUCGGCUCUGCAUUGGAAAGAUGAAGGGGAGACUCUCAAGAAACAAAUCCAGAAACUCCAAAAAUGGGAGGAAGAGGAGGAAGUUAAGAGGAGGGUUCUGCAAGAGAGAGACCAAUUCUUGAAAAGGCAGAAGGAACUGGCCCAACAACUGGAAGCUGAGAGGAAAGUAAAUGGGGAAGAACUGAAGCGUGUGAUUGCUAUUUUGAAGCGGACUGAAAGCGGAGAAAUUGAAUGGAAAGAGAAGGCACAGGCACUGACUCUUGCCCUUUCUAAGAGUGAAAUGACCAAUGGGACUUUGCGGGAAGAAAUAGCCAUCCUGCAGAGUAUGGUUUCAGAGAGGGACAAGGACCGGUUUCAUCUUCAGGAGGCUAUUGAAGGUGGUGAAAACCUAUCAUGGCUCUUAGAGAAGAAGCUCCUAUGGCAGCGGCUGGAGUGUCUGCAGCAAGCAGUUGCAAAGCUGGAACAUGAAAAGUCUGAGCUGAAACAACUCAAUGCUGAGCUCAGGGUAACUCUUGAGCAGGUGGAGCAUGAACGGAGGAGACUGAAGAGAAGUUGUAGUCGUCAGUCACAGACAAGUACAAGCAGGUUUUCUCUCUCAGAAUCUGAUGAGGACAAGUUGGCUGCGUCUAGAAAGGUGUGAACAGAAGCUUACUUGGUGAAAGAAGGGUUUGGCCAUACAGAGGAACUAUGGCAAAUUCCAGUGGCAUUAUUGCCACCCCUCCACCCCCCCAACUACAUAGACAUAAUGUGACUCAUCUGCAGCAGCAGUUGGCACAAGAACGGAAAUACAAGCAGGACUAUAUUGAGUGCUGUGCGAAGACCAGCCAGGAGCUGUUGGACCUUCACCAAGAGCUGUCUUACUCCCUGGAGGCUGUGGUCAGGGAGCCCAAAGCUGCUGUUCUGGAGGCAGAGACUCAGAAGCUGGACCGAUCUCUAAACCAUACCUUGAUGCUAAUAUCUCUGGACUGCAGAUCUCCUGAGAGCCAGCUGUUGCACUCAGCAGUGAGCUCUACCACAAGGGAUGGCCUGAGGUAACAGGAGCAGGUUGCAGCCAGAGCUGCAGUAGCAGGUGGUGAGGUGAUUGGUGCUGAGCACAGGCACUGAGGUAAGAGAGGAGUCUGGAGCACUGCAGGGUCUCCAGCAGCAGUGGGAGGACAAAUCUGGUGCUGGCUGGCGUGGAUAGGGUCGGCACGUGAGCCUGACAAGGUCAUCCUUCUUCCUCCUCUGAAGCACUCCAUCAUGGCAUUGCCUCACCAGCCUCCCAGUGGCUCUCCGAGUUAGGUUAUUUCUGUCAGCUUCUGUACUGUUCACAAAGACUUUUUCAAUAAAGUUAUUUUUCCAGAACACUG